AUGGUUUCUAAAAAUGCAUUUUAAGAAGCUAGUUAUAGACAAAAAUCAAAGAUUUAUACCAAAUGCAUUUAUCACAACUCCAUCAGAAGAGGCAGAAUCUCUAGCAGCAUAUGUUCCUGAGGUGAUCUUAGGGACACUAGGCACAGCUGAGGACCAGGCUAAGGGGUCACACUUGGAGAGAUUUGAGGGUAAGUGCACAUACAGAACAGUAAGAUCCCUCUUUCCCUUUUGACUCUCGGAGUUCUGGAAGCCAGGUGGAUAUUUCCCAGGCAGAAGACAGGAGAACACCUCUAAGAUAGCUGGCUGUUCAGGAGAAAACACAUUCAUAAAUGGACAAUUAGGUGUCCCCAUGAAACCUGUAGAUUUCUGCCUAGUUACUGUACAGUGAAGUCCACCAACAUGCAAACAUACAAAUAAGCCCCAAACGUGCAAACAGGGCUUCCCAUCAACAUUUUAGUAACUUGCACUUAGGCAGAACCAAGGAUCACUAGAUUUUUUUUAAUAUUUAUUUUUUUAGGUGUAGAUGGACACAACACAAUGCCUUUAUUUUUAUGUGGUGCUGAGGAUCGAGCCUUUAUUUUUAUGUGGUGCUGAGGAUCCCACCCGUGCUAGGCGAGCGCUCUACCGCUGAGCCACAAUCCCAGCCCAAGGAUCACUAGAUUUUUUUGAGGAGAG
rnacentral:lncRNA from 1 species